CAACGCCGCGUGGAGGAUGAAGUCCCUUGGGGUGUAAACUCCUUUCGAUCGGGACGAUUAUGACGGUACCGGAAGAAGAAGCACCGGCUAACUCUGUGC
rnacentral:rRNA from 1 species